rnacentral:rRNA from 1 species
GGUUGAUCCUGCCAGUAGUCAUAUGCUUGUCUCAAAGAUUAAGCCAUGCAUGUCUAAGUAUAAACAUCUUUAUACAGUGAAACUGCGUACAGCUCAUUAUAUCAGUUAUUAUUUAUUUGAUGGUGCUUAACUACAUGGAUACCCGUAGUAAUUCUAGAGCUAAUACAUGCGUAAAGUCCCAACUUUUUGGAAGGGAUGUAUUUAUUAGAUAAAAAACCAAUGCAGGUAACUGCUUUCUUGGUGAUUCAUAGUAACUUUAACGGAUCGCACGGCUUUAUGUCGGCGACAUUUCA